UUUUGUAUUUUUAGCAGAGAUGGGGUUUCACCAUGUUGGCCAGGCUGGUCUCGAACUCCUGACGCUUACCAUUAACCAUCACAAGCUGUUAGCAGAGAACUUCAAAGAGGAACCAGGAGUACGGGAAGAGCAUGAAAGUGGACAAGGAGCGUGACCAUGGAAGCACAGCACCACAGGGAGGGGUUUAGGCCUCCGGAUGACUGCGGGCAGGCCUGGAUAAUAUCCAGCCUCCCACAAGAAGCUGGUGGAGCAGAGUGUUCCCUGACUCCUCCAAGGAAACGGAGACUCCCUUUCACGGUUUGCUAAGUAACGGGUGCCUUCCCAGGCACUGGCAUUACCACUUGACCAAGGAGCCCUCAAGCGGCCCUGAUGCAGGUGUGACAGAGGGCUCACCUCUUGCCUUCUUGGUCACUUCUCACAAUGUCCCUUCAGCCCCUGUCCCUAUACCCGCCGGUUAUUCCUUGGUUAUACAACAAAGAGUAAUAUUAAAAGUUAAUGAUUAAUAA